GAUGAACGCUGGCGGCGUGCCUAAUACAUGCAAGUCGAGCGAACGGACGAGAAGCUUGCUUCUCUGAUGUUAGCGGCGGACGGGUGAGUAACACGUGGAUAACCUACCUAUAAGACUGGGAUAACUUCGGGAAACCGGAGCUAAUACCGGAUGAUAUUUUGAACCGCAUGGUUCAAAAGUGAAAGACGGUCUUGCUGUCACUUAUAGAUGGAUCCGCGCUGCAUUAGCUAGUUGGUAAGGUAACGGCUUACCAAGGCAACGAUGCAUAGCCGACCUGAGAGGGUGAUGGGCCCCAUUGGAACUGGGCCGCGGUCCAAACCCCUAGGGGAGGCGGGAGUAGGGAAUCUUCCGCAAUGGGGGAAACCCUAAGGGGGCAACGCCGGUGGAGGGAUGAGGGGUUUCGGACUUAAAAACGUUUUUAUUGGGGAAAAACAUUUGUGAAAGUAACUGGACACUUUUGGACGGGACUAAAUCAAAAAGCCACGGCUAAAUGCGU
rnacentral:rRNA from 1 species